AGCACGUUAUGGUGGGCACUCUAAGGAGACUGCCGGUGACAAACCGGAGGAAGGUGGGGAUGACGUCAAGUCAUCAUGGCCCUUACGGCCUGGGCUACACACGUGCUACAAUGGUCGGUACAAAGGGUUGCCAAGCCGCGAGGUGGAGCUAAUCCCAUAAAACCGAAUCGUAGUCCGGAUCGCAGUCUGCAACUCGACUGCGUGAAGUCGGAAUCGCUAGUAAUCGUGAAUCAGAAUGUCACGGUGAAUACGUUCCCGGGCCUU
rnacentral:rRNA from 1 species